GGUUCUGGCUCAGUGGUAGAGCACUCGCCUAGCACACAUGAAGUGCUGGGUUCAAUCCUCAGCACCA
rnacentral:tRNA from 1 species